rnacentral:miRNA from 1 species
UUGUGACCGUAGUAAUGGGCAU